rnacentral:rRNA from 1 species
CCUACGGGAGGCAGCAGUGAGGAAUAUUGGUCAAUGGGCGAGAGCCUGAACCAGCCAAGUAGCGUGAAGGAUGACUGCCCUAUGGGUUGUAAACUUCUUUUAUAAAGGAAUAAAGUCGGGUAUGGAUACCCGUUUGCAUGUACUUUAUGAAUAAGGACCGGCUAAUUCCGUGCCAGCAGCCGCGGUAAUACGGAAGGUCCGGGCGUUAUCCGGAUUUAUUGGGUUUAAAGGGAGCGUAGGCCGGAGAUUAAGCGUGUUGUGAAAUGUAGAUGCUCAACGUCUGCACUGCAGCGCGAACUGGUUUCCUUGAGUACGCACAAAGUGGGCGGAAUUCGUGGUGUAGCGGUGAAAUGCUUAGAUAUCACGAAGAACUCCGAUUGCGAAGGCAGCUCACUGGAGCGCAACUGACGCUGAAGCUCGAAAG